GACGAGCGCUGGCGGCGUGCUUAACACAUGCAAGUCGAACGGAAAGGCCCUGCUUUUGUGGGGUGCUCGAGUGGCGAACGGGUGAGUAACACGUGAGUAACCUGCCCCUCACUUUGGGAUAACUUCAGGAAACUGGGGCUAAUACCGGAUAGGAGCUCCUGCUGCAUGGUGGGGGUUGGAAAGUUUCGGCGGUUGGGGAUGGACUCGCGGCUUAUCAGCUUGUUGGUGGGGUAGUGGCUUACCAAGGCUUUGACGGGUAGCCGGCCUGAGAGGGUGACCGGCCACAUUGGGACUGAGAUACGGCCCAGACUCCUACGGGAGGCAACAGUGGGGAAUAUUGCACAAUGGGCGGAAGCCUGAUGCAGCAACGCCGCGUGCGGGAUGACGGCCUUCGGGUUGUAGACCGCUUUCGCCUGUGACGAAGCGUGAGUGACGGUAAUGAGUAAAGAAGCACCGGCUAACUACGUG
rnacentral:rRNA from 1 species